AUCUAAGUACCCCGAGGAAAAGAAAUCAACCGAGAUUCCCCCAGUAGCGGCGAGCGAACGGGGAGGAGCCCAGAGCCUGAAUCAGCAUGUGUGUUAGUGGAAGCGUCUGGAAAGGCGCGCGAUACAGGGUGACAGCCCCGUACACAAAAGCGCAUGUGCUGUGAGCUCGAUGAGUAGGGCGGGACACGUGGUAUCCUGUCUGAAUAUGGGGGGACCAUCCUCCAAGGCUAAAUACUCCUGACUGACCGAUAGUGAACCAGUACCGUGAGGGAAAGGCGAAAAGAACCCCGGCGAGGGGAGUGAAAAAGAACCUGAAACCGUGUACGUACAAGCAGUGGGAGCCCCACCACCAAAGCAUUCUCUGGUGUUGAAGGCCCUGCAAAGCAGCAUCGCGGUGGCGGAGCGUCGUUUGCGACGCCCAACACACAAAACAAGCGGUGAGUGCUUUGGGGUGGGGUGACUGCGUACCUUUUGUAUAAUGGGUCAGCGACUUAUAUUCUGUAGCAAGGUUAACCGUAUAGGGGAGCCGUAGGGAAACCGAGUCUUAACCGGGCGUUAAGUUGCAGGGUAUAGACCCGAAACCCGGUGAUCUAGCCAUGGGCAGGUUGAAGGUUGGGUAACACUAACUGGAGGACCGAACCGACUAAUGUUGAAAAAUUAGCGGAUGACCUGUGGCUGGGGGUGAAAGGCCAAUCAAACCGGGAGAUAGCUGGUUCUCCCCGAAAGCUAUUUAGGUAGC
rnacentral:rRNA from 1 species